AAUCCACCUGGGGAGUACGUUCGCAAGAAUGAAACUCAAAGGAAUUGACGGGGGCCCGCACAAGCGGAGGGACAUGUGGUUUAAUUCGAUGAUACGCGAGGAACCUUACCUGGACUUAAAUGUAUAUUGACCGGUUUAGAAAUAGAUCUUUCCUUCGGGACAAUUUACAAGGUGCUGCAUGGUUGUCGUCAGCUCGUGCCGUGAGGUGUCGGGUUAAGUCCCAUAGCGAGCGCAACCCCUAUCGUUAGUUGCUAGCAGGUAAUGCUGAGGACUCUAGCGAGACUGCCACCGUAAGGUGAGAGGAAGGUGGGGAUGACGUCAAAUCAGCACGGCCCUUACGUCCAGGGCUACACACGUGUUACAGUGGCCAGUACAAAGAGCAGCUACCAGGCGACUGGAUGCUAAUCUCUAAAGCUGGUCUCAGUUCGGAUCGGAGUCUGCAACUCGACUCCGUGAAGUUGGAUUCGCUAGUAAUCGUAGAUCAGCAACGCUACGGUGAAUACGUUCCCGGGCCUUGUACACACCGCCCGUCAAGCCAUGGAAGCCGAGGGGACCUGAAGUUCGUAACCGCAAGGAGCGACCUAGGGUAAAAUUGGUAACUAGGGCUAAGUCGUAACAAGGUAGCCG
rnacentral:rRNA from 1 species